CCCUGGCUGACUUAGUCAGUGGAGCAUGGGACUCUUGAUCUCAGGGCUGUGGGUUCAAGCCCCACGUUGGGUG
rnacentral:tRNA from 1 species